CUAAUGCGUUAAGUAUCCCGCCUGGGGAGUACGUUCGCAAGAAUGAAACUCAAAGGAAUUGACAGGGGCCCGCACAAGCGGUGGAGCAUGUGGUUUAAUUCGAUGCAAAGCAAAGAACCUUACCAGGGCUUGACACGCCGCGAAUCCUCUUGAAAGAGAGGGGUGGCCUCGGGAACGCGGACAAAGGUGGUGCAU
rnacentral:rRNA from 1 species